UGUACUCCUCCGCUUCUAUGUUUCUCGCUCCCUUCACCCUUUAUUUUGUGUUGCUUCAUCCUUAAGUCCCUAACAUUCUUCAUCCAUGGAAAAGUAGUAUAUAUCAGCUCACAAAGAUGUGAAAUCCGGUGGAGGUGUUUAGAGUUCAAGAUGAACUUUUUGUUGAUUUAACCAUGAAACUCAUUCUAGAAGCUUGAGGUACUUGUAAAUCCCUCUCUUAAAGCCAUUGUCAUUCCUUGAGAAUCUUCUUUACCAUCCGUAAUACUUGCUUGACUAUCACCUCCCAUGAUGUUGACCCUUUAGAUAAAAGGUAUGAACCCACACAAUACGAAAUUUUUCCUU